UAGGUUAGAUAAUUAAUUAUGCUAUAUAUAAUGAUUUUAAGUGGAAGGAGAGAGAAUUUAAAAAGUAAAGCAUCGUUAUCCUUCAUCUCUUUCACCGUUCCUCAAAGAAAGAAAGAAAGAAAACAAAAUAUCCUUUUCAUUCCUCCAUUACAGUGGCUUCAAUUAGGAGAAUAGGUGAGUUCUUUUCUUUGAUUUUUGUAAAAUUGUUGAUUAAUUUUAGAAGCCCAUGCCAUAAAUCUAUGAAAUUAAUAAGUUUGAGUUAGGUUUUCAUUGUUAGAAAGGUUUCAAAUCUUGAUAUAAAUAGCUUGAAUUCAUGCAUCAAUAUAGUUUAGUUAAGGAACGGAAAAAUAUGUCAGAAAUGUAAUAGGAAUUAAAGAAUUUAGUUUUGAAUUAUUUGAUUGUUAAGGACUAAAUUGUAAAUGAUAAAAACUAUAAGGCUUAAGAAUAAAUAAUGAUGUAGGAGGUCCUUGUACUAUAUUUAUUAAGUCAGAUCAUGUAUGUAACAACUUAAUUUUCAGUGGUGUCGAAAAUAGUAGUUUUGAAAUCUCGUUUUUGUAAUUCGAGAUUUAAUCUUUAUGAAUGCUAGUAUAAAAGUUUAUUAAAGUUUGGUCUAAUAAUUUUGUCAAAUCCUUAAUUGAUUAAUUAAUGUACAUAGAUUAAAUUGUAAAAAUUUUAUCAUUAUAGAUUUUUAAUUGGAUAAAGAACCAAAUUGGUAAUUAAACCAAUUCUUUUUAAUAGAUAGUGGAAUAUGACCAUAGAAUCCACUUAUAGUUGUUAACGAAAGAUUAAGUUAAGAUUAAGUUAAUUUAAUUAAGUAAUUAAGGUAUUAAUUCUGGUAUAAAAGAUGAAAUGGUGGAGAAUUGGCAUAAGUUCAUCUUCUCCACCGUUGGUGAGCUUAAAACAAAGAAAAACGUUUUGAGCUUUAAACAUUCGGUCCCUCAAAUUAGUAAGUUUUUAAGUCUUUUUCUUAUAAAUUUUAUAUUUUUGAAAUCAUGAAAGUUUGAUUUAAUUAGUCUAUAUACCAAUUUGUAAAACUAUUAAAGUUUUUGAAAGCUGCCAUUGAUUAUUUCUUAAAGAAAUUGAUGUUGAAUUGAUAGAUUUUAAACUUAGAUGUGAAAAAGGACUAAAUUGUAAAGUUUAAGUUGUUAGUUUUGUCCAAAAUAGACCUGCUCACCCGCCCAAAAAGUUUGAGGGUUUGAGUAAAAAUAUAAGUCCGAAAAAUGGGCUUGGGAAAAAAAUAAGGCCAGUUUAGAAAACAAGUCGGGCCUCGAGUAAGGCUUUUUUAGCUCGAGCUCGGCUCGAUCUAACCCGAAUAUGCAAAAAAAAAAAAACUACUAUUUUUUUACUGUUUUAUUGUUAUUUUCUUAUUUUUUUGUUUUACUAUUUUGCUAUCAUUUCACUAUUAUGUUGCUACUAUUUUGUUAUUAUUAUAUAACUCUUGUUUUAUUAUUAAUUUUGUUACUAUUGUAGAGGCAUUUGGUUGUUAAGUUGCAUUUAUCUUAGUGUUAUUUUAGUAUACAUAUUUAUUUAAUUUAUUUUUAAUUUUUUGGGAGACAUUUAUUUUAUAGUUUUUACUAUUUUUGAUGAAUUAUAUAUAUUUUAAAAAUUAUAUAAAAAAUUAAUCCGAGCGAGCCAGCUCGAGCCCGAGUUUUAACGUUUUUAUCCGAGUCAAACUUGAAAAAAAUUUUAGGCCCAUUUUUUGGCUGGGCCUAGCAAACAGGUCUAAACUUUUGGUUGGGCUUGGCCUGACCCAACCCAUGAGCACCUAUAAAUUUUGAAAUUGAUGUGAAAUUUCUGUAACUAUUGAUAAUAGAGGGCCAUAGGAAGAUGUGAUUGAGAUUGCUUUCAAAAUCGAAGCUCAAAAUUGAAAAUUAUUGUUAUUUCAGUUUGGGACUAAAUUGAAUAAAAUACAAAAUUUUAGGGGCCUUCAAAAAAUAAAAUUGGAUUGAUUUAUAAUACGGUGUUAUAAAAGGUUUGGAAUUGAUAAAUUGAACCAAAUUAUUGUAUAGAUCGGGCAUUAAACCAAAACCAAAGAUAAUCAGGGAAAAAAUAAAAUUGUUGAUUAGCCCUUAAAGACUUGUUUGUUGUUGUUUUGCCAGGUAAGAUCAUAUGAAACUUAUUUUUUUGGUUCAUGUUAUAAUUGAAUUUUAAUUAUUUUGCUUAUUAGUUUAUAUAAAUGUGAAUUUGGUGAUUUUGGCAUCAAUUAGACUAAAUUAUAAAGUAUGAAAAAUGUGAUAUUUAUGAAUAGGUACAAGGUACAAAAAUGGAAAUUAAUUUUUUACAAAAUUGGUAUGACAUGUAUAUGUUGUUACAGGGAUUGAAAUGAUAUGAUUACAGUAAUAAUGCUCGUGUGAACUUAGUAAAAGAUUAGGAUACAUAUGACAUGACAUUAGAGUCUAAUAUGGAAUCGAUUAGGAAUUUACAUGGUUAUAUGAGACCCAACAAUUGUUCUAGAUUCUCAGUUUAUAUGUAUCAUUGAUUUAGUCUAGAUUGGUAACCUCGAUACAAUGUCAGCUUGUGUAAGCAAAUCCAUAAAUGUCAGCUUGUGUGAGCAACCCUGAUCAUUGUCAGCUUCUGUGAGCGCUAUUGUCCCGUGUAUUCGAGUUUGAUUUACUAAGGUUCUUUCGGAUGAAAAUGUAACUUAGUGGAAAUAGAAUUAUUGAAAUGGAUUGAAUAUGAAUUAAACUAUAUAUGCUUUUUAAUAGAUUAUUAAUUCUUUUUAAUAGAUUAUUAAUUAGCACCAAAUUGAAUUAUUUUAUAUGAUUUAUGUUAUAAGUUCUUAAUAUGUAAAUUGAAAACCAUUAGUUCUAUAUGAUGGUUUGCAUAUGAUGUUACAAAAUAUGUCAAAUGAUGUCAUGUUAAAUACCAAUGUGUUUUAAAUGUUAGUUUGUUGAAAUGUCAAGGUAAGUUAAGUAAGCAUUUAAUAUGCUUACUCUAUUACCUCCCUUUUCUUAUAGAUUGUCAACUUGCUGAACGUGUCAAGCAAAUCAACAAGAAGCUCACACUAUCUCGUUUCUAAUUUAGUAGUUUUUCAAUCAUUUAAAAGUUCGGUUUUGUAGCAUGUAUAUAGGUGGUAUGUGUUUGUUAACCUUGAAUGAUGACAUAGCUUGCAUAACUUUGCAUAAUGGUAAUGCUUGUCGAGAUGGUAUGCUUUUGGUAAAUGGUAUGAGUUGUAUAUAUUGUAUUUGAAAUGGUAUUUUUUAGAUGUGAAUUGAUAUUGAUAAAUAUGCAUAUGCUAUUCAGUUAAUGGUUUGACAUAUAUACCUUGAUAAAUGAAUGAAAUGUCUAAAGGUUGUUUAGAUGUUAUUAGUUGAUGUGAGGAUGAAUAUGGUUAUCUGUGCUUGUUUAGUUAUGUGUAUAGAAUUUUUUAAUUCAAGAAAACUCGUUAAUUGUGCUUAAUAUGUGAAGGUUAUAUGGCAGUCUUGAAAUGGGUAUCAAAUAACUCAAAUUUUACUAAAAACAGAGUUCAUAUCCCGAUGAGCAAUCUUCCUCAUCGCAACGUCGGCAGACAAUGAGUCACAUCACAAUGUCGAGUGACCUGAGGUCAUGACGUGAUAAACUAUUUUACGAUGUCACGGCAUGGAGGACGUGACGUCACUACGUCGACCAGAAAUUUUGAAACUUUACAAUUUGGUAAUAUUUUGUAUUCAAGUCAACAAAAGAGCUUUCGUAAGCUCGAUUGAGACUCGGAACAAUGUUUAUCGUAAUGUAAAUGUGUUUAUGACAUGAAUGCAUGAUUGAAUGAAUUAUGUACUUUCUAUUUGAUAGUAGUUGCUCUGGAAACGACUAUAGCAUUUUGUAGCUCGAAUUCAGCGAUCGGGUCAGGCAAGAGGUGUUAUAGGGUAAAUUGUGAGAAAAAAAAUGUUCUUUAAGGACUAAAUCGAAUAAAAUGCAUUCAUAUGUAUAAUGUAUUGAAUUGUAAUAGAGUUGUAUGAUUAAUGAAUUUUUUGUAUUCGGAUUCAAUUUCGUAGUUAAAGACAACACAAGACCAUCCUAGGAUAAAAGGAAAUCCAAAGCCGUCAACAAAUAAAUAUUCUGGUUUGUACUUCCAUAACUAAAGCUCAAUAAUUAAUUAAAUAUAUAUAUUUGAUCCGAUAUAUGUUCGAGAAUGGUUAAUUAUCAAAAUAAAUGUGUUCGAUAUUAACGUAUAGACUUGAUAUAUAUAUGUAUGUAUGUUUGAUGAUACGAUACGAUUAAUAAUGAUGAUAUUUUCCUCAUUAACGUUGUCGAUAGAGUAACGAGUAUAGUUGGCAUGUCAUAAGGUCCAUAUUGAUAGGUGGGAGAUUUAACGCUAUGCGCAUAUAUAUAUUGUGAUAGUUUUCUAAUACCCUAGGGGUCGAGAAUGUAUCACCAGCUCAAAUACCCUAAGGUAUGAACAUAUUCUAGUGUGGUUGGUGGGAUCAGUGUAUUUAUGCCCGAUUAGCACUUUAGUGCAUAUUUGGUAUGAUAGUGGAUUAAUCCAAGUAUUCAUUAUUAUAUCUGAUUUGAUUAAUAGGGGUUAAAAUGUAAAAUUGAUAUCUUGAAUAUGUAUUGAAUUGAUACUAGACAUUGAUUUUAAUGAGCAUGAUCUUGUUAUGUUAAAUCAGAUGCAAAUACCCUGGGGUGCAUUGGAAAUUAUAUCGAAUUAUCGAGUAAAGCAUAGAUGAGAACUAGUUGAAAUGAUAAAUGAAUUAUUAAUAUAUACAUAUCUUUGAUAUUAGGGUGAAAUGGCUAGUUGGUUAGCUUGGGUUAAUAUGCUAUUUAUGUUAUUUAAAUUUAGUUAUGUUUAUAAUUGAAUUCGUGUUAUGUUAGCAUCACUAAGUAUACUUUACUCAGCAUACGAAUUUGUUUGUUUUCAUGUGCAGAUCUUGGAUAAAGCUUAAGAAAUCUUGUGGUCAAGCAUCCAAGCCUCAAGCUCAACUUGGAAGUUAUUGCAAUCUUAUUUUGCAUUUAUUUAUAUGUUUUAAAAUCAUAUGACAUGUACCUAAGUUGGUUGACUUAUAACUUAACUUAGUUAUGGCACUUUUGGUAGUCGACCUAUAAUAUUAGUUUAGUUGAAUUUCAUCUUUUGAUCAAUAGUUACUUAGGUUUAAUUAUGUGAGUUUGAAUGUGUUAAUUGGUUGAUUUAGUUAUGAUGUAUUGAAGGUUAAAAUUUGGUAUUGUUUGAAUGUGUUUAGAUAGGUCAAUUGGAUGAAUAUGAUUUGUGGUACACUUUAGGUGUGUUUGAGUUCAAU
rnacentral:lncRNA from 1 species